CCUACGGGUGGCAGCAGUGGGGGAUAUUGCACAAUGGGCGGAAGCCUGAUGCAGCGACGCCGCGUGGGGGAAGAAGCGCCUCGGCGCGUAAAGCUCUGUCAGCAGGGAAGAAAAUGACGGUACCUGAAGAAGAAGCCCUGGCUAACAACGUGCCAGCAGCCGCGGGAAUACGUAGGGGGCAAGCGUUAACCGGAUUUACUGGGUGUAAAGGGGGCGGAGACGGCGUUGCAAGCCAGGAGUGAAAGCCCGGGGCCCAACCCCGGGACUGCUCUUGAAACUGCGUGGCUGGAGUGCAGGAGAGGCAAGCGGAAUUCCUGGUGUAGCGGUGAAAUGCGUAGAUAUCAGGAGGAACACCAGUGGCGAAGGCGGCCUGCUGGACUGCAACUGACGUUGAGGCCCGAAAGCGUGGGGAGCAAACAGGAUUAGAUACCCCUGUAGUC
rnacentral:rRNA from 1 species